AUUCCCCUAGUAACGGCGAGUGAAGCGGGAAGAGCUCAAGCUUAAAAUCGGUGUGGCCCCGCCACUCUGAAUUGUAGUCUAUAGAAGCGCCUGCCAGUGUUGGCCCCGGGAGAAGUCUCUUGGAACAGGGCAUCAUAGAGGGUGACAAUCCCGUCUGUGCCCGGGGAUCCAUCAUGUACGGCACGCUUUCAUCGAGUCGAGUUGCUUGGGACUGCAGCUCAAAAUGGGUGGUAAAUUCCAUCUAAAGCUAAAUAUGGGCGAGAGACCGAUAGCGAACAAGUACCGUGAGGGAAAGAUGCAAAGAACUUUGAAAAGAGAGUUAAAAAGUACUUGAAAUUGCUGAAAGGGAAGCGAAUCAAACCAGUGUUGAUGCGUGUUCAUUUUUCAGUGUGGUUCGGGCUUGGCCUGGCGUGUUGGUGAGGAGUCACAUCCCUCCGCUGCUUGGUGUUUGUCCCGAUCUCCGCUGCGCUGUGAGCACGCGUAGCUCAGCAUCAGUUCUUGUUCCCGCGGGAUAUGCCAGUGUGGGAGGUAGAUCACAGUUCGCUGUGCUUGUUAUAUCCAUAUUGGCGUGUCGUGGGUAGGACUGAGGAUUUUCACAGUGUACGCCUUUUCGGCUGGGUGCGUGUUGGUCUGUGUUGGUCGCUCGCUUGGACUGCUCGUCAGUGUCUGUGGGUUUGAUUGAUGCCUUCCAGCUCGUGGUCCAUGUACGCUCGGGAUGCUGAGGAAAUGGUUUGAUCCGGCCCGUCUUGAAACACGGACCAAGGAGUCUAACAUCUAUGCGAGUAUUCGGGUGGCAAACCCUUGUGCGCAAUGAAAGUGAAGGUUGAUGUAGGUCAACUGAGGUAGGACGGGUGGUCUCGGCCGCCCCGCACUAUCGACCGGCCAUGAUCCUCUGUGAGAAAGGUCUGAGUGUGAGCAUAUGUGUUGGGACCCGAAAGAUGGUGAACUAUGCCUGAAUAGGGUGAAGCCAGGGGAAACUCUGGUGGAGGCUCGUAGCGAUUCUGACGUGCAAAUCGAUCGUCAAAUUUGGGUAUAGGGGCGAAAGAC
rnacentral:rRNA from 2 species